AUCCCCCCGCGCCUCGAAGAGACAUUAUACCGUGAAACUGCGAAUGGCUCAUUAAAUCAGUUAUCGUUUAUUUGAUAAUACCUUACUACUUGGAUAACCGUGGUAAUUCUAGAGCUAAUACAUGCUGAAAAUCCCGACUUCGGAAGGGAUGUGUUUAUUAGAUAAAAAACCAAUGCCCUUCGGGGCUUUUUGGUGAUUCAUGAUAACUUUACGGAUCGCAUAGCCUUGCGCUGGCGACGGUUCAUUCAAAUUUCUGCCCUAUCAACUUUCGAUGGUAAGGUAUUGGCUUACCAUGGUUUCAACGGGUAACGGGGAAUUAGGGUUCGAUUCCGGAGAGGGAGCCUGAGAAACGGCUACCACAUCCAAGGAAGGCAGCAGGCGCGCAAAUUACCCAAUCCCGACACGGGGAGGUAGUGACAAUAAAUACUGAUACAGGGCUCUUUUGGGUCUUGUAAUUGGAAUGAGUACAAUUUAAACCUCUUA
rnacentral:rRNA from 1 species